GACGAACGCUGGCGGCGUGCUUAACACAUGCAAGUCGAACGGAAAGGCCCUGCUUGCAGGGCGCUUGAGUGGCGAACGGGUGAGUAACACGUGGGUGAUCUGCUCCUUACUUUGGGAUAAGCCUGGGAAACUGGGUCUAUUACUGGAUAGGACCAUGCUGUAGGUGGUGUGGUGGUCAGAUUAGUUUCGGUAAGGGAUGAGCUCGCGGCCUAUCAGCUUGUUGGUGGGGUAAUGGCCUACCAAGGCGUCGACGGGUAGCCGGCCAGAGAGGGUGGAAGGCAACGUUGGGACUGCGACACGGCGCAGACGCCUACGGGAGGCAGCAGUGGGGAAUAGUGCACAAUGGGCGCAAGCCGGGUGCAGCGACGCCGCGUGGGGGAUGACGGCCUUCAGGUUGUAAGCUACUUUCGGCCGUUACGAAGCCCUUGUGGUGACGGUAGUAGUAGAAGAAGCACCGGCUAACUACGUG
rnacentral:rRNA from 1 species